AUUAUCCCGAUAUUUCCAUCGAUAUUUCCGUGUUUUCGGAUUACCGAUAUUUCCGAUAUUACCGAUAUUUAAUACCUUGUUCCUGACACUAAAUAACUUAUGUUAUAUUUUUAAUUUGCUUUCCACCACGCUUCUGUAGCUGCACAACAUCUCUGUUCGGCCACUCUAUCUACAUUGGGUUGGUUGUAAUCCUUUCUUCUUCCUUAAGCUGGCUUUAAUACCAAUUAUUAAGAGCUCAUGGAUAGAACUUGCCUUGCAAAUCAAUUUGUGAGGGAAUGCCCAAGAGCUAUUAACCCGCUCAACAUAUGUUAUUUUUCUGAUGUGGAAGAAAUGGGCCCUAACAAAUUUGCACCCAAAAUUUCCAACCAAUAUGAUUAGAUCGAAUGACAUAUUUUCUAAUUAAUAUUUUAAAUAUGGUUAGUCUUUGGUUUAGUGUAUUCUCUACAAAGAUGCAAAUACAAUCUAUCAUUUGUGAUCUAUUCCAUACACCUAGUUGUGGGUAGCCUUGUCAUAAUAUGGUAUUUUUGUUAUUGAGGCAUGUUGUCCUUGUAAAACUAUCUUAAUAAAUAUCCCAGAGUUCAUAAAUUAAAAAUAAAAAAAAAUUAUUUCAUGCUUCUUUGAUUUAUAAGCAUUUUAAACAAAGAAUUUAUUGGUUAUUUUUUAUUAGUGACGAUAUUAUUUGUCUAAGUUACAUUAGAGGUAGGUAUAAAUAGACACGUGUCUAGUGAAAAAUAAUAAUGAAAAUAGAACCCUCUAGAAAGAAAGAAAAUCCUCAAAAUUGUUAGAAAUAAACGGAGUAGAGAGACGAGAGAAGGUGGAGGAGAAAUCAGCGUGUAUUUUCUUUUGAUUAGUGUGCCUAUUUAUAUGUUUAGGAUUUACGUACAUAGAAAAUGUUCUAACUAAUUACAUAUCAUAUAUUGUGACACACCCCGAUCCUAGAAUCAAGGCGUGCUGGCCGUCACGUGAGUGUGACGUAACCAAAAGUGCGACGUGGAAGCAAAAGAUAAGAGAAAUAUGAAUAAACAAAAACCAAAUACUAGCAAUGAUAACCAAGUAACGUGCUAGAGUAAGUUUAAGUGUGAAACACAUAAAUUCAGAGCAUAAGAACUAAGUGCAGUCAAGUAGGACCAUAACUAAAUUACAACACCCGCAGGUGAGUCCUACAUUUAUGUAGUCUGUCAGUACGCCGUGGGAAUCCUCAUGGGCCACCAACGCUGCUAACUAGAACCUGGAGGGGCGCAAAACAAAAUUGAGUGGGUCAAUAAAACCAAAGCUUUUCGAAAACAUUUCAUCAAAAACAAUUCUAACCUCUCGCUGUAAAACCUGUAUAAUUUCCCAGAAAAUAACAUAAUAGUAUAUAAUUCCUCAUAUAUCUCAAAUCAUUAAUCUUUAUCAAUUCCAGAAAAUAUGCCAUGCCAUAAAUGUCAAUAACAGAUUAUGAAUGCAUCAAUAUAACAGGUGACAUAAUGAAUCAACCGGAGACCUUGCAGUUGAUCAUGUACGGUUAAUUCCAUAGCUUAAUAUCCAAACCAACCGGAGUCACCAAGGUGACCUGUACGGCACUACUCUGCACAUAAGUCGGAACUACCUGAAGUAGUCUGUACAACAAGAAUGGUGUAAUAAUACGCUCUAGUGCUUCUCUCAACAAUCAUCUAUGCA
rnacentral:lncRNA from 1 species